GCGGACGUGGCGGAAUUGGCAGACGCGUUAGCCUUAGGAGCUAAUGGAGAAAUCCGUGGGGGUUCAACUCCCUCCGUCCGCA
rnacentral:tRNA from 1 species